rnacentral:lncRNA from 1 species
UAUUAUACGUAUACUGUCACAUUAAUGAACUUCAGUAAGUAUGACGUCAUAAGGUUUCCGAGUCCAGACUGGAAGGUUUUGAAACACAAAACAGAACCACAAGACAAAAUGUGAAGACUAAACUUAAAGCACAGAAGAGAUUUUUAGAUACAUUUUACUAAUAUCACAUUUUAAUCUUUUCGCAUCAUCAUACCCCAGCAAUUUAAAAAAGCUUUAGGCCCUCCACUUGCUGUCUAUGUACACCCAGUUACAAUUAUGUCCAUUAGUUGCCUUAGCAACGGAGGCAGAGGUUAAGUCAUUUUCUAGAAGAGGCCCAGUGCAAAUUAUGGCAUUAUACCAACUUAUUGCCAAUCGUUUUAAUUAAAACAUUUCGCUUUCAACUCAGCUAACAGCAGAGAUCAGUAAACAGGGCAGAUCAAAUUACUGAUAUUUAAACUCCCCUGCCUUUGGAAAGGCCCGCUAAAGCUUAAUUACUCUUGGGCAGGACUGAUGAAGCGAGAGCAAGGAACCGCAACCAUUCAGGUCUGCGAUGCUGCACCCAGGCCCAGAACCAGCUCACUGCAACAAGCUAAGGUCUACAAAGAUGCCACCCUGGAAGAUGCCCACCUAGUGAACCUGCAUGGCACAGGCACAGACAGCAAGAUGGCAUUGACCCUUCAACAAAUGCAGUUGUUAGGUAAUAAAGACAUCUGCUGCUAAUGCUAAUGGACCACCUGCCAACAAGAAAUUGUGGUAAACCAUGCAACAAAUGAUACAAGAAGCCAUCCUGAACAUCACUGAAACUCUCCACUAAACAUAAAUCCUUUCACAUACCGAUCAGGUGCAACAAUGAGCCAUUAAUUCAUUUACAGUUUCUUCCCUGAAUACCUGCAUACAUCUAUUGCUUACUUCUCCUUACUGCCCCUUUGGGAGCAAUGCCUGUUAAUUGAAAUGGCCCCCCUUUGUAACAGUCAGCAGCUGCUUUGAUUACUGUAUUCCAAUAAAUAAUACAGCUGUAUUAAUUCA